GACGUAGGGCGCGAGCGUUUGUCCGGAUUUAUUGGGCGUAAAGGGCUCGUAGGCGGCCAACUAAGUCAGACGUGAAAUCCCUCGGCUUAACCGGGGAACUGCAUCUGAUACUGGAUGGCUUGAGUUCGGGAGAGGGAUGUGGAAUUCCAGGUGUAGCGGUGAAAUGCGUAGAUAUCUGGAGGAACACCGGGUGGCGAAGGCGGCAUCCUGGACCGACACUGACGCUGAUGAGCGAAAGCCAGGGGAGCAAACGGGG
rnacentral:rRNA from 1 species